ACCUUGAAAGACAGCACAGGUGUAAGAGAGUGUAGCUUCACUUCCUCAUUGCUGGAUAUCCUGACCUGAUUGAGCAACUUAAGAUGCAGGGUGAAGCAGAGACAUGCCUGAAUUUAUCACUGGCUAUACCUACUCCGUGAAUUGGUUGUUCUUAAUCAUCUAGAUCUUGGUCUGGAUGGAGUGAUCUAUAACCCAUCACAGCUUGCAUGACUGAGUUCCCCUGGACAUUUGGGGAAAUGUGAAUGUGCAAGCAUGGAGCUGGGGCUGAGCAUCCCUUUAGAGCCUUGGAGGGGCUUAAGGCAGACAGCUGAAGAACCAUACGGCAGGAGGAGCUUACUGGAGCUCUACAGAGUGGUGCAAGAGUAAAUGAUGGUUCUCGAGGUUUUUCAUAAAAUCUUAGAAUCCUGAGACUUUGUACAGAAAAACUUAGUUUCAUUCUGAAGGGAGCUUGCAGCACUCUGUAAAAAAAAUUCAGCCUGUCACUGUAUCUGCUGGUUGAAGAAGUUGUAAAAGACAAAUUACCUUGGAAGUAACACACUAAAACGUGCAAAGAGGUUUCUUCAUCUAAAUUAUCUCUUAAGGUGCUGAUAAGAAAUUCCUUCCUUCCCACUCCCAUCCCAAACCUCAUCAUGAAUUCUCACUGAAAACAACUCUCCCAGUCUCCAAAGAGGUGAGGCAACUCCCUGCACUCCACCCACUUUUCUGCUCCAGCACAGACUUUAAAGCUGAGAAUUGAAAUUCCACAGAAGAAGGCUGCUUUUUGCGUAGUCAUUGCAUCAAUCACACAGGGUUUGCAGAAGUUAAUGAGUACAAGCUGCCUCAUGAGAGAGCAUGCAGAUGUCCACUUGUUUGUAGAGUGACUGAGCCUGAUAAUCUGAUCACAAGUUUGGCAUUAAUUUCACGGCAUGGCUGUAUGGGCAUUUCCCUUCCACAUGUAAGAUGGUGACUAGCAACAAGCACCACUGUCAGUCAGUUAACAUACUUAGGAAUCUGUUUGAUGUUAGCAAAGAGUUGAGCUGAUGGCACUUUGUAGCCCCCUGAAAUCCUGCCAUGCAAAUCCUGUCUGCCUCAAAGGCCCCUGGACAUCUGAGCUGGCUUUGGAAAUACCAGCCUCGUUAGCAGUGACAUUAGCGGAUAUUCUUAAAUCAGGAUGAUUUAGUUAGUUGCUAGGCUGCUCUGCAGUCUGAUGCUUGAGAGAAUAAUUUUUAAUGGCAGGGGAUCUCUCUGAGAUGGGACUGUCCCAGUUGAUGUCAGACACAAACUCAGCUUCCCUGACAUCAUCUGGCAACAUGAUAUAGAAAAAAUGACAUACAUCAUGGAAAAGGCAUGAGGCACACCCUGACCUCUGCACACUUGCCACCCAACAAAAAAAAAAAAAAAAAGGCUGCAUAGCUAGACUGUUUCCAUUAGCUGAAGUAAGCACCACUUUAGCAAAAGUAGGAAGGAGACGUAACUUCUAUUGAAAUAUCUGAGUGCUUUCUAACAAGGAGGUCUUUCAAAUGUUUAAUGUUAUUUUCCUGAGACCAUAUUAUAGACCAUAAUAGCAGUGUUGUGCAGGAGCAGUUUGGCCC